CAGGAGCUUGGCCCCGGGUGCCUGCAGGGAAGCCGAAGUGGGCCUCGCAGAAGAGAUGGAGACUCUGCAAGCUCAGGGGACGCAGGGAAGAGGGCCAUCAGGUUUGUACUGAGCCAUGUGGCUGAACCCCUUUCCUUUUAUAAUUACUUAUGUUAAACAUCUUUUUAUAUUUUGGAUAUCAUAUAGCCGCCCAAAUCCAAAGGGCCUCAUGCUCCGAGACCCCACUGAGACCACAAUGAAGACGCAGCACAAGAUGGCGCACACCUUUAAUUUCAGCACUCAGAGGGCAGACACAAAUGAAAAUCAACUUGGUCUACAUAAGGAGUUGCAAGACAGCCAGUGCUACACUAUAGAGAAACUCUGUCUCAACAAAACAAAACCACUAAGGACGGGCUGCACC
rnacentral:lncRNA from 1 species